AUAUGGGAAUUUUGGUAAGACCACGGGCCGGAGCCUUAACCCAUCCGCGUCUCUCUCCUCGCUCUCUCUUCUUUCCACAACAGAGGAGGAGGAGAAAGCCACAGUCAAAAGUCUCAACCACCUUCACCUCUCUCUUUCUCUUUCUACAACUGCAAUCGCAGAGCUCCUCCUCCUCCACCUCUAGCUCGGCCGCCGCCGCCGUCACCACCACAUUCACUAACAGUUUUUCUUCGAAUAGCGUCAAUGCCGGCACAAAAGCGUUCUUACGAGACCCCUCCGGAGGAGGAAGAUUCUUCGCAAGCCGAUCAAAGCCACCACGAGCAAGCUGAAGAUGGAGACGAAUCAGAUGGAGCCCCUUCGCAUAGUUGUGGAGAGAAAGACGAAUUUGUCAUUGUGAAAUUGGCAGAAAUACGCAAGGAAGUACAAUGUCCAAUUUGUUUAGGGAUCAUUCGGAAGACUAGAACAGUUAUGGAAUGCCUGCAUCGUUUUUGCAGAGAAUGCAUUGACAAAUCUAUGCGUUUGGGGAAUAACGAGUGUCCUGCUUGUCGAACCCAUUGUGCUAGUCGGCGUUCUUUGAGAGAUGAUCCAAACUAUGAUGCCCUCAUUGCAGCUUUAUAUCCAGAUAUUGAUAAGUAUGAAGAGGAGGAAUUAGCUUUUCAUGAAGAGGAAAAGGCUCGCAAUAAACAGAUCCAAGCUUCAAUAGCACAGACUUUUCGACGACAAUCAGAUGCACUAGGCAGAAAACGUGCAACAGCUAGAGCCACUGCAGCUGCAUUUGUAAGGAGAUCACAAGGCAAUUAUCGAAAUUUGAGGGGGAGGAGAAACCAUAGAGCCUCUGAAUUCCAGGGAUCUGACGAUGAUGAGGAUGCUAAUGGAAAUGAUGGCAGCAAAGAUUCGUCUUCUGCUGAUGAGCGCUGCACAGAAGUCAAACCAAAAAGAUACAAAAGAUGGGGAGGAGCUCGGCUAUCACAUCAUUCUUCAGCCGCAACCAGUGCUGAUGGAAUCUGUGAUGAAAAUUUCUCAGAAGUAAACAGAGAAUCAGUUGGUGCAUCUAUAGGGCUUGUUGGCAGCUCAGAAAUGCUUGCAUGGGGCAAAGGUGGCAUGCGGAGUCACACCCGACAUGGUAGUCUGAGUGGUGGCAAUGGCAAAAUUGCCCGGAACAGCCGCCUCUCUAAGUUCAUCGAUUUCCUUCGGAAUUUAGGAGAAAAGGACGAUGCGUCGGAUAUCCAUCUUAAACUGGUCUCUUUGGAUGAAGAAAGAAUACCCAGUUUGCAGCGUCCAAACCUUUGCUGCAGGCCAACCUUGUCAGUCAGACACCUACACCAAUAUGUUGCUCUCCAGACCCCUUUGCAAGCUGAAGACAUUGAAAUAUUGGCUGUGAAAGAGCUGUUGCCUUGCAAACUCAACCCUCCAAUUUCUUCUGGUGUUCCAUGCAAAGAUGAGUUCCUUAUAUUGGAAGAGGAGGAAACAUUGGCAGGACUGCAAGCUAGGUUUAGUCAGGGCCAUCUCGUAAGCAGAUAUAAGUAAUAUAACUCAGAUUUGUGCAGGAAAACACACACACGCACGUGCACGCCGAAGUUGUGUCUUCUGGCAUACCGGCAAAAGUCGUCAGGUUCGGGAAACUCGUGAAGAAUUGGCUGGCUUUGUCAAAGAGAACAAGGGACACAAUAAUUCAUGUUCUGUAGGUGGAUAAAAACAUACUUGCACAAGGGUAGUAAGUUUAUCAUCUGACAGAGCUUUAGUACUGUCUUCUAAAAUUUAAUGCUUUAGGAAGUUUAGAAGUAUAAAGAAAAACAAUGAGAGUAUAGAGUCAGAAAAUGUGCAGUACUAUGAACCUUGGACUGCUUAUGUUAUGCAUUUACUUGUAUACUACAUCCGAACUUCACAAUCAUAAUCCCAUGACCUCCCACAACUCACAAAAGCAUCAUUUAAACCACUUGAUAUUGGCUGCACAAGGAGAAAUGUGCACUCAGUUAAUCGGGGGUGUCGAGAGGAAUGGAUUCAGCAUAGAUUUUGGCUUCCGUAUGAUACAAAAUUUUGAGAGGGCAGAAAUGUUCCAAAUAUUUUUAUAGAGCUAUGAUCCAUAAAAUCAAUUAUACUUUAUGAGUACCUCAGAUGGGUUGUCUGAUA